rnacentral:tRNA from 1 species
GGGUGGGUGGCUCAGUGGUUAGAGCCUAGGGCUCGUAACCGAAAGGUUGCUAGUUCGAACCUCGCUAGAGGCU